rnacentral:rRNA from 1 species
GACGAACGCUGGCGGCGUGCUUAACACAUGCAAGUCGAACGGAAAGGCCCUGCUUUUGUGGGGUGCUCGAGUGGCGAACGGGUGAGUAACACGUGAGUAACCUGCCCUUGACUUUGGGAUAACUUCAGGAAACUGGGGCUAAUACCGGAUAGGAGCUCCUGCUGCAUGGUGGGGGUUGGAAAGUUUCGGCGGUUGGGGAUGGACUCGCGGCUUAUCAGCUUGUUGGUGGGGUAGUGGCUUACCAAGGCUUUGACGGGUAGCCGGCCUGAGAGGGUGACCGGCCAAAUUGGGACUGAGAUACGGCCCAGACUACUACGGGAGGCAGCAGUGGGGAAUAGUGCACAAUGGGCGGAAGCCUGAUGCAGCAACGCCGCGUGCGGGAUGACGGCCUUCGGGUUGUAAACCGCUUUCGCCUGUGACGAAGCGUGAGUGACGGUAAUGGGUAAAGAAGCACCGGCUAACUACGUG